rnacentral:misc_RNA from 1 species
UCGACUGUCCCUAUCAUUAGAGUGCAAGUUACCACGUGAGAUGUCCCCUUAAUCAUCUCAUAAACAGCAACUAGUCAUCAGAUAUGAAAACUAAAGGCAUGGAGUAGUUAGAUAUCAGAAACACGCAGAAUCUUAAGUGACUAUUUUAGAUAAGGUCAAAUCGAAAGUGACUAUUGACUACAGCAUAUUUGCUCCAUUUCUGUACUCUUUGUGGACUUACUCUGCCGUGCAGCUAGGCUGUUAUUUAACUUCUAAUGGUACCCCAAGA